UCUUUGCUAGUAUAUCGGUUAGUACACGCGCCUGUCAUGACGAGAAAUUCGCCCUUUCAGCGUACGCGCGAAAGCUGGGUUCGACUCCCAGGCAGAGAG